GAUGAACGCUGGCGGCGUGCCUAAUACAUGCAAGUCGAGCGAACAGACGAGGAGCUUGCUCCUCUGACGUUAGCGGCGGACGGGUGAGUAACACGUGGAUAACCUACCUAUAAGACUGGGAUAACUUCGGGAAACCGGAGCUAAUACCGGAUAAUAUAUUGAACCGCAUGGUUCAAUAGUGAAAGACGGUUUUGCUGUCACUUAUAGAUGGAUCCGCGCCGCAUUAGCUAGUUGGUAAGGUAACGGCUUACCAAGGCAACGAUGCGUAGCCGACCUGAGAGGGUGAUAGGCCACACUGGAACUGAGACACGGUCCAGACGCCUACGGGAGGCAGCAGUAGGGAAUCUUCCGCAAUGGGCGGAAGCUUAGCGGAGCAACGCCGCGUGAGUGAUGAAGGUCUUCGGAUCGUAAAACUCUGUUAUUAGGGAAGAACAAAUGUGUAAGUAACGAUGCACGUCUUGACGGUACCUAAUCAGAAAGCCACGGCUAACUACGUG
rnacentral:rRNA from 1 species